rnacentral:lncRNA from 1 species
ACCCUAAUCGUGGGCUCAGGCUCCGGGUCGGGGUGAAGGAGCUCCUCCUGGUGGGGUCGGGGUCCGGGUGGGGGUGACGGAGCCCCUCCCGUGGGGUCGGGGUCCGGGUGCCGGAGCCACUUUACUCGGGGUCCGGGUCGGGAUGAUGGAGCCCCUCCCGUGGGGUCGGGGUCGGGGUGACGGAGCCCCCACGGCGGGGUCGGGGUCCUGGUGACAGACCUGCCUGCGGGCCCGGGGUCCCGGGUGGCCUGCGUCUGAGGGGCGAGGCUGGGGUCCGGAGUCCGGGUGGCCUGCGUCCGCGGGGCGAGGCCGGGGUCCGGCUCCAGGUGGCCGGUGUCCGAGGAGCGAGGUUGGGGUCCGGGUCCGGGGUCCGGGCGGCCUGCGUCUGCGGGGCGAGGCUGGGGUCCGGCUCCGGGGUUCGGGCGGCCUGCGUCCGCGGGGCAAGGCUGGGGUCCGGGUCCGGGAGGCCUGCGUCCGCGGGGCGAGGCCGGGGUCCGGCUCCGGGAGGCCCGCGUCCGAGGGGCGAGGCCGGGGUCCGGGGUCCGGCUCCGGGUGGCCUGCGUCCGAGGGGCGAGGCGCGAGGCCGGGGUCCGGCUCCGGGUGCCUGCGUCUGAGGGCGAGGC